AUUGAACGCUGGCGGCAUGCCUUACACAUGCAAGUCGAACGGUAACAGGCCUUCGGGUGCUGACGAGUGGCGAACGGGUGAGUAAUGCAUCGGAACGUGCCCAAUCGUGGGGGAUAACGUAGCGAAAGUUACGCUAAUACCGCAUAAGCCCUGAGGGGGAAAGCAGGGGAUCGCAAGACCUUGCGCGAAUGGAGCGGCCGAUGUCAGAUUAGCUAGUUGGUGGGGUAAAGGCCUACCAAGGCGACGAUCUGUAGCGGGUCUGAGAGGAUGAUCCGCCACACUGGGACUGAGACACGGCCCAGACUCCUACGGGAGGCAGCAGUGGGGAAUUUUGGACAAUGGGCGCAAGCCUGAUCCAGCCAUGCCGCGUGCGGGACGAAGGCCUUCGGUGUAACCGCUUCAGCCGGAAGAAUACGCCAAGGCUAAUAUACCUUGGUGGAUGACGGUACCGG
rnacentral:rRNA from 1 species